AUGGAUACAGUUAGAGGGGAGGCUUGGUCAAUGGCUCCACCACAACAGCAGCGGCAGCUGUCGGGGUCUCGGGGUCCGCAGCAGCAGCAGCAGCAGCAGCAGCAGCAGCAGAAUGGUCGCAUUGAUCUCCGGGAGCUCAAGGCUCAGAUGGAGAAGCGGCUUGGUCCGGACCGGUCGCGGCGGUACUUCGGCUACUUAAGUGGGUACCUGUCGCAGAAGCUCAGUAAGCCUGACUUUGAUAAGAUGUGCCUGCUUACAUUGGGCCGGGAGAACCUCCGGCUGCACAACCGGCUCAUCCGCGCGGUUCUCUACAAUGUCUACCAGGCACAGUGCCCACCUCCACCACCAGAUGUUGGGAGGUCUGUCGGACCGUCGGCGAAGAAGGUUUCCCAGGCUGCUGGAUCGCUUAAUUCUUGUAAUGGGGAUGCCAGGCUGUUACAGGUCCAAGGAUCGAGGUCUAUGGGUGCACUGCAAGAUCAUCAGUUGAAAGAUCGGCUGAAACAUAUGGGCCCAAAUGGUAGGGUGGAGGCUGUUGCCAGUCACACCCAGGUUGUUCAUGGGGGAUCUGCAGUUACAGAGAAUGGCGCAUUAAGUUCACUUGAAUUGAAGAGAUCGGUGUCUUUUCAACAAUGUGAAGCUGCAGAGCCAUUGGCAAAGCAUCUGCGUGUGGACCAGUUGCUACCUGAAAAUGCGCUUAGGCAAAGAAGAAUUAUGAGCGAUGCUGCAGGUCAUUCUGCUCAAAUGUCGAAAAGUCCUGUACGAGCUCCACUUGGGAUACCCUUUUGUUCAGCAAGUGUAGGUGGAUCAAGGAAAUCACUACCGCCAGCAGUUAAUGCAGGGGAAGACCACUUCAGCAGCUGUUAUGAGCAAGGUCAGCUGUUGAACACGGAGGUUCUGCGUAAGCGCAUGGAGAAAACAGCAGAAACACUGGGUCUGGCAGGUGUCACAAUGGAUUGUGCUGAACUUCUGAAUAAUGGUUUGGACUCGUACUUGAAGAACCUGAUUAGGUCAUCUGUUGAGUUAAAGGGAGCUGAUGUUCGACGAGAUGCAAGAAAAGGGGCAUCAUACAAGCAGCAUGCCCAUGGAAAGCAAAUUAAUGGUGUUUGGUUGCCGAACCAAGUUCAGAUGCAGUCAAGCAGUGGACAAUCAGAUGCUAUAAAUGAUAGCAGAAGUCAACACUUGAUCUCUGCUCAUGAUUUCAGCGUAGCCAUGCAGCUAAACCCUCAACAGCUUGGGGAGGACUGGCCAGUCCUCCUUGAGAAGAUAUGUCUACGUGAGGAAAAUGACUGA
rnacentral:rRNA from 1 species